GUGUUUUGGGUUCAUCGCCUGAUUUGGAGGCAGGAGUUGGAGUGCCUUCAACUCCCAUCUCGGCUCUUAGAUCAUUGAUGCUUUGCUCCAGCUCAUUGAUUCUGCCUCCCAUGUCAUCGAGUGAAAUCAUCAAAGUCAAGGAAAUUACGGUUUAAACCAACACAAAUUGCUGAUAAAAGAUUCAGUGAUUCGAGUUCCUACAGAUUCCGAACUUAUAUCAGUGAUCAUGAGAGAGCUUAACAUAGAGCCAUGUGGACAUCUAGAAUCUCAAUAAAUACUUUAAUCUAAUCUGGCAGUAGAUAAUUGUAUUAGUAUCCGUUAAUGGCAGAAAUAAACUAAUACUAGUGAUCAAGAUUUCCUCCACCCUCUAGGAGGGAGGGAAACAUUUUCAAAUUAUUCCAAAGGAAGAAACAUUAAAUAUAUGAAUGAUA